rnacentral:lncRNA from 1 species
AUGGUCUUGAGGCUAAUUAAGAAUAUUUCAUCACUAAAUAUCACAAAUUAUAAUCUUUUUUUGAUGUGUAUAAUAGAUAAGAGAGAAUCUCACCUUUAUCUUCCUGAAGAUACUUGCUAUAUUUCUUUUUUCUCCCUACAGAUUGACUUCCCUUUAUUCAUCAACUCACAAAUGGACAGCCAAAAAAUGCUGCUUUUAAUACAUGGUUCUCCUUGACUAUUUUUUCUGUUGUGCUCCACAAAGCUAGUUAAUUCCUUCUCUGAUCCUUCAAUCCUCAUACCCAAAGUGUUAGUCUGAUUGGCUAAACCUUAAUCAAUUCCCCACCCCGAACCAAUUAGUCAAGACUCCAAAGGAGAAGGGUCUUACGAUAUAAGUCACAGAUAGGACUGAUUUUCUUAGAAGUGGGAUAUGAGACAGGCCGCCACCUCAGAAUUCACCUGGAGGAAUGAAUAAAGAUGUUGGAACUUUGAGAAAAUAUAGAGAAACAAUUCAAUAAAAUGAGAAAAACAAUGAGUUAUCAGAAAGAUAAAUUUAAUAGAUUAAAAUAAUAAUAAUUUUUAAAAGCACAAAAAUUCUAGGCCCAGAAAAUACAACGAAUGAAAUAAAAAAAUGUAAGAGAAAUUAAGUAGAGCAGGAUUGACCAAGUAGAAGAAAGAAUAUGUGAAACUCAAAGACAGAUUAUUUGAAAAUACAGUCAUGUGUCACUUAGCAAUGGGGAUACAUUCUGAGGUGUGCAUUGUCAGGUGAUUUUGCCGUUGUGCAAACAUCAUAUAAUGUGCUUACACAAACCUAGAUGGUAUAGACUAUUACAAACCUAGGCUAUAUGGUGUAGCACAUUGCUCCUAAGCUAUAAACAUGUACAGCAUGCUUUGUACUGAAUAUUGUAGGCAAUUGUAAACAAUGGUAAUUAUUUGUGCCUAAACAUAGAAAAGGUAUAGUAAAAAUAAAAUAUAAGAGAUAAAAACUGGUACACUUGUAUAAAUUACUUACUGUGAGUAGAGCUUGCAGGAAUGGAAGUUGCUCUGUGUGAGACAUGAGUGAGAAGUAAGUGAAUGUGAAGAACAUUAUUAUGAACUACUGUAGACUUUAUAAAGAGUACAUUUAGUCUAUUCUGAAUGUAUUUUUUAAAAA